rnacentral:rRNA from 1 species
CCGACGGUGAGGGGCGAAAGCUGGGGGCACGAACCGGAUUAGAUACCCGGGUAGUCCCAGCCGUAAACGAUGCUCGCUAGGUGUCAGGCAUGGCGCGACCGUGUCUGGUGCCGCAGGGAAGCCGUGAAGCGAGCCACCUGGGAAGUACGGCCGCAAGGCUGAAACUUAAAGGAAUUGGCGGGGAGCACAACAACGGGUGGAGCCUGCGGUUUAAUUGGACUCAACGCCGGACAACUCACCGGGGGCGACAGCAAUAUGUAGGCCAAGCUGAAGACUUUGCCUGAAUCGCUGAGAGGAGGUGCAUGGCCGUCGCCAGUUCGUACUGUGAAGCAUCCUGUUAAGUCA